GAGACUGACGCUCAGGUGCGAAAGCGUGGGGAGCAAACAGGAUAAGAUACCCUGGUAGUCCACGCCGUAAACGAUGUCGACUUGGAGGUUGUGCCCUUGAGGCGUGGCUUCCGGAGCUAACGCGUUAAGUCGACCGCCUGGGGAGUACGGCCGCAAGGUUAAAACUCAAAUGAAUUGACGGGGGCCCGCACAAGCGGUGGAGCAUGUGGUUUAAUUCGAUGCAACGCGAAGAACCUUACCUGGUCUUGACAUCCACGGAAGUUUUCAGAGAUGAGAAUGUGCCUUCGGGAACCGUGAGACAGGUGCUGCAUGGCUGUCGUCAGCUCGUGUUGUGAAAUGUUGGGUUAAGUCCCGCAACGAGCGCAACCCUUAUCCUUUGUUGCCAGCGGUCCGGCCGGGAACUCAAAGGAGACUGCCAGUGAUAAACUGGAGGAAGGUGGGGAUGACGUCAAGUCAUCAUGGCCCUUACGACCAGGGCUACACACGUGCUACAAUGGCGCAUACAAAGAGAAGCGACCUCGCGAGAGCAAGCGGACCUCAUAAAGUGCGUCGUAGUCCGGAUUGGAGUCUGCAACUCGACUCCAUGAAGUCGGAAUCGCUAGUAAUCGUGGAUCAGAAUGCCACGGUGAAUACGUUCCCGGGCCUUGUACACACCGCCCGUCACACCAUGGGAGUGGGUUGCAAAAGAAGUAGGUAGCUUAACCUUCGGGAGGGCGCUUACCACUUUGUGAUUCAUGACUGGGGUGAAGUCGUAACAAGGUAACCAAUCACUAGU
rnacentral:rRNA from 2 species